rnacentral:lncRNA from 1 species
UUUUCUAACAUAGGCCAUAAAGCGAUCCAAAUGUCCACUUGCAAAUUCUACAAAAGAGUGUUUCAAAACUGCUCAAUCAAAAGAAAGGUUCAUCUCUGAGACAUGAAUGCACACAUCACAAAGGAGUUUCUCAGAAGGCUUCUGUCUAGUUUUUAUGUGAAGAUAUUUCCUUUUCCACUAUAGGCCACAAAGCGCUACAAAUAUCCACUUGCAGAUUCUACAAAAAGAAAUUUUCCAAACUC